rnacentral:misc_RNA from 1 species
UCGUAACAAGGUCUCCGUUGGUGAACCAGCGGAGGGAUCAUUACCGAGUUAUUACUCCAAACCCUUUGUGAACCUUACCAUUGUUCUGUUGCCUCGGCGGGGGUCGGCCCCUAAAGCCUCACCCGCCGGCAGCACCAAACUCUUGAAUUGUAUAGCGGAUUGCACUUCUGAAUAAAAUACAAAACAAAUCAAAACUUUCAACAACGGAUCUCUUGGUUCUGGCAUCGAUGAAGAACGCAGCGAAAUGCGAUAAGUAAUGUGAAUUGCAGAAUUCAGUGAAUCAUCGAAUCUUUGAACGCACAUUGCGCCCGGCAGUAAUCUGCCGGGCAUGCCUGUCCGAGCGUCAUUUCAACCCUCGAGCCCAAGUUUUUUAAACUGAAGGAUCGGUGUUGGGGCGCUACAGCGGUCUUCGGAACGCUGUAGGCUCUGAAAUACAGUGGCGGUCUCGCCGCGGCGCCUUCUGCGUAGUAAACCAAAAACUCGCAUUGGGUCCCGGCGAAGGCCAGCCGUCAAACCCUCUAUUCUUAUGGUUUGACCUCGGAUCAGGUAGGGUUACCCGCUGAACUUAAGCAUAUCAAUAA